rnacentral:rRNA from 1 species
UGGUGAAUAUUUGACAAUGGGCGAAAGCCUGAUCCAGCCAUGCCUCGUGUGUUAAGAAGGUCUUCGGAUUGUAAAGCACUUUAAGUUGGGAGGAAGGGCAGUAAGCUAAUACCUUGCUGUUUUGACGUUACCGACAGAAUAAGCACCGGCUAACUCUGUGCCAGCAGCCGCGGUAAUACAGAGGGUGCAAGCGUUAAUCGGAAUUACUGGGCGUAAAGCUCGCGUACGUGUUUCGUUAAGUUGAAUGUGAAAGCCCCGGGCUCAACCUGGGAAAUGCAUCAAAAACUGGCGAGCUAGAGUAGGGCAGAGGGUGGUGGAAUUUCCUGUGUAGCGGUGAAAUGCGUAGAUAUAGGAAGGAACACCAGUGGCGAAGGCGAAAACCUGGGAUCAUACUGACACUGAGGUGCGAAAGCGUGGGGAGCAAACAGG